AUUGAACGCUGGCGGCAGGCUUAACACAUGCAAGUCGAGCGGGGUGAUGGUGCUUGCACUAUCACUUAGCGGCGGACGGGUGAGUAAUGCUUAGGAAUCUGCCUAUUAGUGGGGGACAACAUCUCGAAAGGGAUGCUAAUACCGCAUACGUCCUACGGGAGAAAGCAGGGGAUCACUUGUGACCUUGCGCUAAUAGAUGAGCCUAAGUCGGAUUAGCUAGUUGGUGGGGUAAAGGCCUACCAAGGCGACGAUCUGUAGCGGGUCUGAGAGGAUGCUCCGCCACACUGGGACUGAGACACGGCCCAGACUCCGACGGGAGGCAGCAGUGGGGAAUAUUGGACAAGGGGGGGAACCCUGAUCCAGCCAUGCCGCGUGUGUGAAGAAGGCCUUAUGGUUGUAAAGCACUUUAAGCGAGGAGGAGGCUCUUUUGGUUAAUACCCAAGAUGAGUGGACGUUACUCGCAGAAUAAGCACCGGCUAACUCUGUGCCAGCCGCCGCCGUAA
rnacentral:rRNA from 1 species